rnacentral:rRNA from 1 species
CUGGCUCAGGACGAACGCUGGCGGCGUGCCUAAUACAUGCAAGUCGAACGGAGAUAUUCGCUGAUGAAGUACUUCGGUAAUGAAUCUUGGAUAUCUUAGUGGCGGACGGGUGAGUAACGCGUGAGCAACCUGCCUUUCAGAGGGGGAUAACGUUUGGAAACGAACGCUAAUACCGCAUGACAUUAUCUUAUCGCAUGGUAGGAUAAUCAAAGGAGCAAUCCGCUGAAAGAUGGGCUCGCGUCCGAUUAGGUAGUUGGUGGGGUAACGGCCCACCAAGCCGACGAUCGGUAGCCGGACUGAGAGGUUGGACGGCCACAUUGGGACUGAGACACGGCCCAGACUCCUACGGGAGGCAGCAGUAAGGGAUAUUGGUCAAUGGGGGAAACCCUGAACCAGCAACGCCGCGUGAGGGAAGACGGUUUUCGGAUUGUAAACCUCUGUCCUCUGUGAAGAUGAUGGCGGUAGCAGAGGAAGAAGCUCCGGCUAACUACGUGCCAGCAGCCGCGGUAAUACGUAGGGAGCGAGCGUUGUCCGGAUUUACUGGGUGUAAAGGGUGCGUAGGCGGCUUGGCAAGUCAGUAGUGAAAUCCAUGGGCUUAACCCAUGAACUGCUAUUG